rnacentral:lncRNA from 1 species
CACAGGCAGCAUAGCCAGGAAGGAAACCAACAGGUGCUGGCCGUGAUCACUGGCCUGGCCCCAGGACCUGGCUGCAUACUUCGUGUGCCUCAGAAGUCACAGCUUCUACCUGAGUUUGUAGGCUGCCACCAGUCUCCAACGUCUACAGCCAGCAUAUCCAGGUCACCCUCCCUUGUCAGUACAUUUGGAUUGAACCCACUGUACAGGAGCAGCAUGGUAGGACGGCUGACCUGCAAUGCAGAAACCAUCAUCGUGGUUCGUUCUCUUCCUGAGUCCCUCCAGCUGGGGCACCUGACUCGUCAUUCAUCUGUAUGUGCCUGUCUUCCCUCCUUCCCCAGCUCCUGUUGAGGACAGGGGUGCCUUGCUCAUCGGCCUGAACAGAAAUGAGCUACAGGGAUCACCUGUCAAUCACGGUGGCUUCUUAGAAUGCCCAUUUGGGCAUUCCCUCAAAUAAAUGGCAACUGAAACCCUAUUGUGACUGAGUAGUUAUGCUUCAGAAAUUGUCCUCAUUCCUUUUUUGUGUUAUCC